rnacentral:rRNA from 1 species
AGAUUGAACGCUGGCGGCAGGCCUAACACAUGCAAGUCGAGCGGUAGAGAGGUGCUUGCACCUCUUGAGAGCGGCGGACGGGUGAGUAAUGCCUAGGAAUCUGCCUAGUGGUGGGGGAUAACGGUUCGGAAACGGACGCUAAUACCGCAUACGUCCUACGGGAGAAAGCGGGGGACCUUCGGGCCUCGCGCCAUUAGAUGAGCCUAGGUCGGAUUAGCUAGUUGUGAGGUAAUGGCUCACCAAGGCGACGAUCCGUAACUGGUCUGAGAGGAUGAUCAGUCACACUGGAACUGAGACACGGUCCAGACCUCCGUACGGGAGGCAGCAGGUGGGGAAAUAGUUGGACAAGUGGGACGAAAGCCUAGACUACCAGCCAAUCGCCGCGUGUGUAGAAGAAGGUCUUCGGAUUGUAAAGCUAACGUUUAAGGUGGGAA